AAAUAAAAAAAAAAAUAAAAAUAGAAAGCAGUGUCAUUGCUUUCUCCACCCAAUCCACUACAGCACCCCUCUACUGGUCCUUUCCAUUCACAUUUCCAUUUUUCCGCCGUUAAAUUGCUGAACCAUUCUUCAGAGAGAGAGAGAAUCUCCAAGAAUGGUUUUCUCUUUGGUUAUAUCACCAUCACCUGCCCUCUUCCUUCCAAGAAAACUUCCUAAUCUUCGCCGCUCCAAACCUCCACUAUCAAUUCACUCUUCUGCUUCUUCUUCUUCUUCUUCUUCUUCUAUUUCUAUGUCCGUUUCAGGCAAUUCGAAAUCGACCCAGUUCGAUUUGAAGACUUAUUGGAUGACCCUUAUAUCAGAGAUCAACCAGAAGCUUGAUCAGGCUAUUCCGAUUCAAUACCCAGAGGAGAUCUAUGAGGCCAUGAGAUAUUCCGUGCUCGCAAAGCGGACCAAGCGAGCCCCGCCUGUCAUGUGUAUUGCUGCCUGUGAGCUCUUCGGUGGUAAUCGCCUCGCUGCCUUCCCUACUGCAUGUGCUCUUGAAAUGGUCCAUGCAGCUUCUUUGAUUCAUGAUGAUCUUCCCUGCAUGGAUGAUGCCCCAUCACGUCGAGGCCAGCCCUCAAACCAUGCAGUCUAUGGGGUUGACAAGGCAAUCCUUGCUGGGGAUGCACUGUUCCCUCUUGGCUUCCGACACAUUGUCUCCAACACACCCUCAGAUCUUGUUCCAGAGCCUCGCCUUCUCCGUGUGAUUGCUGAGAUUGCUCGUGCUGUGGGGUCCACGGGAAUGGCUGCUGGUCAGUUCCUUGACCUCGAGGGUAGCCUAAAUUCUGUAGAGUUUGUUCAAGAGAAAAAAUAUGGUGAAAUGGGUGAGUGUUCUGCAGUGUGCGGAGGAUUGUUGGCUGGUGCUGAAGAUGAUGAGAUACAAAGAUUGAGGAGGUAUGGAAGAGCUGUUGGGGUAUUAUAUAAAGUGAUUGAUGAUGUAUUGGAAGCAAAAUCAAUGAGUAAGGAAGAUGAGGAGAAUGAGAAAAGAAAAGCGAAAAGUUAUGUCAGUUUAUAUGGGGUUGAGAAGGCAGUGGAGGUUGCAGAAGAGCUGAGAACCAAGGCUAAGAAGGAAUUGGAUGGGUUUGAGAAGUAUGGGGAGAGUGUCCAGCCACUAUAUAACUUUGUUGAUUAUGCAGCUGAUAGAGGUUUCAGUGUUUUAGAGUUGAAUUGAUGAUGGUGUUUUAGGUCCUAUUCUGGUGGGAGAAUCUUAUAUUUAGGAGUAACUUAUGGAUUGGAUGGAUGGAAAGUAUGGCAUACCACCAUUGGCAUUAAUAUUUUGAUGGUUCAUCAUGCUGUUGUAGGUGAAGUUCUUAUAACUGUAGUUGAAUUCUACUGGUUUUCCUCCCUUGGCUUUUCGGCUACAAAAAUCCCAGAUGGUGGCAAGGACGAUGAGAUAACGACAGCAACCAUUGUGUGAUUUUCCCAUAUGAAUGUUCGGUUAAGACUUCUCAGGGUCCAAGUUUGAUAGGUCUUGCACCAUUUCCCUUACGGGAAAGUGCUUUCGCUGAUUACGUAAAUUGAAGUUGUUGUGUCGAUCAAUAAUUUGGGUGAGGAAACAAGGAGAUAGAAAGGACAAGCCGCAUUAGUAAAGAUGACAUAUCAUUAGCUUUCCCGUGUAUUCAAUUGAAGACGAUCAUGUAUUGCCUUGUUUAUUGGCUCGAAAAUUAUGCAUUAUUUAGAUUGGGG
rnacentral:misc_RNA from 1 species